CCUGCUUGUGCUCUCUCUCUCUAUUAUUAUUAUGAUAAUAGUAAAAUAAAACCUCCACUGGCUUCUAGUCUCAAUCAAAGAAAAAAGACUUGGAGAACCCACAGGACUCAACAACCCAGUCCCCUUUACCCCUCUGAGGCCCCCUUUACCCGUCUGAGUUCAAUCCACUUUCCCCCCUCCUGCAUGUUUUUUGCUGUGGUCACAGUGGCUUCCUCUGUGUGCUUGAAACACAUCAGGAACACUUCCACCUCUGUACUUGCUCAGGCCUUUGUCUAGAAUACUCCACUUGUGAGUUGCCCCUUGGAUCUCACCUUUUACCACUUUUGGGCUUUUUAUUUAACCCUUACCUUAUUCAUUACACAUAUGCUGACCACCCUGUUUAAAAUACCAAACCCCAUCUCCUUCCUUUAGUUAUUUUUCUCCAUGACACCUAACAUAUUGUAUGUUUUACUUCUACAUUGGCUUAUCGUCCUCCCUCUAGGAGGAUAUAAACUUCCUGAGUGCAGAGGUUUUUGUCUGUUUUGUUCUGUUUUAUCUCCUGUGUCUAGAACAGCACCUAGCACAUAGUAGAUACUCAAUAAUAAAUGAUCAUUGAACAAAUAAAGAAGUGAGUUAACUCUAGAAGUGCUAGGAAACAGAGGAUUUUGAGGAGUGUUCUGACCUGACUUUUAUCGGGACCCCUUUGCUUGCUUGUGGGGAGUUGGGUAGUUGGCAGCCCUCUGACAGCUUAAGAGGCUUUUGUGCUAAUCUGGGUGAGAAGUGAUGGCAGUUUGGAUUAAGGUGAUGUCUUGGAGACGACAGGAACGUUUGGCUUCUCUGGGUGUAUAUUGAAGGCAGCAUUUGCUGAGGGACUGUGGUGUCUAAAGGAAAGAGAGGAGUCAAGGAUGAUUUCAAGGAUUUGGCUCUGAAGAACUGGGUGGAGACAAGAUCUGUCUGGCUCCUACCCAGAAUCUUCUGCCAUCUAGACUCUCUUAGAGCUGUUGUCACAGCUAACUGAGGGAAUGUGCUUAGGAUCAGGCAAUGUUUAUUGAGUUCUUCCUGUAGGUGUGGUGCUGAGCUAUUGUUUCCUUAAUUCUGUACUUUUGUAGUUGUUGUUUUGAGGGAGAUACUAUCGUAUCUAUAAACGGAAGCCACCUGCCUGAAAUCACACACGGGGGAAAUGUUGAGGCUGGGAUUCAGAGUCUGUGUUUUUACCAAGUAUCCCUUGUAGCUCUCCACCACCUGAAUUUCUCUGGCUCUAAAAUAGGGCCAACACCUCAUUUCUCUCCUUUAUCACAGAGCCUGGCAGAAAUGAACUGGCUCAGAGAAGAUUCAGAGUCAGGUUCUCUUCUGCGUCUUCUCUCAGAAGACCCCUGGCUGGAGUCUGGCCCCUGCAAACUGGGGGUAGGAUUUUUUGUAUCAAGCUGCCAGCUGUAGGGCCACUCAGGAUGAAAGCAGCUUCCUGAAUUCUCUGAGGGCUGCCCCGUUCUACCUGGCAUUCCACCCACUGCCUUUGCCACAGAUCCUGUUAUCAGGGCCAGUUUUGUGACGCUCAUUGGCAUGCUGCCAAAUAGGAGUCUAUAGAACACCUACCCUUGGGCCUGAGGGCAAAUCCCAGGCCCUUCUCACCUAUUCCUGGGAACCAAUCUAAAAUCAUUACUCCCAGAAAGGCAAACAAAGCUAUUCAACACACAGAUCCUAGGCUCCUGUGCUGUGCCAGGCCGAAAAGAGGCUAGAACAGGUCCUGGUUGAGUCCCAUAAGUUUUUUUUUAAGAUUUUAUUUAUUUAUUCAUGAGAGACACAGAGAGAGAGGCAGAGACAUAGGUAGAGGGAGAAGUAGGUUCCCUGCAGGGAACACGAUGUGGGACUUGACCCCAGGACCCCGGGAUCACCACCUGAGCCGAAGACAGACGCUCAACCACUGAGCCAUCCAGACUCUGCUGGUGCCUGCUCAAGAGGUUACUCUUGGAGAGUCCUACUGCUGCCCACAGGCUUCCUCUCAACACACCACAAGCCAGCACAAGUGAAUGCUUCCAGAACAGCCCUCAACCAGUGACUGGUGCAAGUAGAGGAUAAAUACCCCCAUUCCCUCACCCAGAGGGGUGGGACAAGUCUGAAAUAUCUGUUCUAGACACAGGUACCCAGUAGGGUUAAGCUCAAGCUGCCUGCAGGGGCAACCUGCUUGACAACAUACCUACACAUGGCUGAUAUAAACAUUCAAGAGUAUGACUUUGUUUUGAAAAUCUGCUUUGAGGAUAACUCAUGAGUUUUGACCCAUGAUGAUUUCAUUAUAGUUUCUUUUCCUUUUUUUUUUUUAAGUGAUCUCUGUGACCAACAUGGGGCUCGAACUCACGACCUCAGGAUCAAGAAUCCUAUACUCUACUGACUGAGCCAGCCAGGCAUCUCCACAGUUUCUGCUUUGAGACAGGAUUUACUUAGGGAGUGUUUUAGAAUUUCCUACUUACUGAGUGUUUAUGUAAAUUUUUUAUCCCUUUCUAAUUUUGUUAUAUUUUUGCCAGGUGAUAUAAACUAACAUUUUUUUGCUUUUA